rnacentral:misc_RNA from 1 species
GUGAAUCAUCGAAUCUUUGAACGCACAUUGCACUCUUUUAGAGUAUGCCUGUUUGAGAAUCUAUAGUAUUAAUUUCUGCCUUGGCUUUUCAAGUCUGGGCAGGAGAUCUGAGGCUUCCCUGCCUAGGUAGGGUGCCUUUAAAUAGAUUGUGUUUGUUUUGUAGAGGACUACGACGUUUUUCAAAACCUGCAGAAAAGUAUUUGAAUGGAACUGUGGUUUCUGAUAUGCUGAAUAUGUGGGCGAAAGAUUGAGUCUUUUUCAGGCAAAUGUCCAUACCCAAGAGCCGAAAGGCUUGAACCA